UACGGAGGGUGCAAGCGUUAUCCGGAUUCACUGGGUUUAAAGGGUGCGUAGGCGGGUUGGUAAGUCAGUGGUGAAAGCUCUCAGCUCAACUGAGAAAUUGCCAUUGAUACUGCCGAUCUUGAAUAUAGAUGAAGUGGGCGGAAUGUGACGUGUAGCGGUGAAAUGCUUAGAUAUGUCACAGAACACCAAUUGCGAAGGCAGCUCGCUAAACUACUAUUGACGCUGAGGCACGAAAGCGUGGGGAUCAAACAGG
rnacentral:rRNA from 1 species